rnacentral:rRNA from 1 species
UACGGGGGGUGCGAGCGUUGUCCGGAAUCACUGGGCGUAAAGGGCGCGUAGGUGGCGUGAUAAGGGUGUGGUGAAAGCCCGGAGCUCAACUCCGGAACUGCCUUUAAGACUGCAUCGCUUGAAUCCAGGAGAGGUGAGUGGAAUUCCGAGUGUAGAGGUGAAAUUCGUAGAUAUUCGGAAGAACACCAGUGGCGAAGGCGGCUCACUGGACUGGUAUUGACGCUGAGGUGCGAAAGCGUGGGGAGCAAACAGG